rnacentral:rRNA from 1 species
UACGAAGGGGGCUAGCGUUGUUCGGAAUUACUGGGCGUAAAGCGCACGUAGGCGGACAUUUAAGUCAGGGGUGAAAUCCCGGGGCUCAACCCCGGAACUGCCUUUGAUACUGGGUGUCUAGAGUGUGGAAGAGGUGAGUGGAAUUCCGAGUGUAGAGGUGAAAUUCGUAGAUAUUCGGAAGAACACCAGUGGCGAAGGCGGCUCACUGGACCGGCAUUGACGCUGAUGUGCGAAAGCGUGGGGAGCAAACAGG